GAGGCUUGGCUGCCGCCUCUCCGGCUGAAUGACCUUGGCCGCUUCCUUGCACUCCUUGGCCCCCGGCUUCAAGGAUUGAGCACCUGUUUACAGGGUCUUUACUCUGGCUCGAGCUGCCCCGGCGCAGCGGAGCGCAGAGCCGGCCGGCCGCGGGUUUGGGGGGGCGUGUGCCCAAAUCCCUAGGCACGUGGGAUCGUGUGUGGGGAGUGGCCUCAGAGUCCUCGGGGAUGAGCUGAAGGUUGUUGAGGGGUUGUGAUAGGUCGGGUUCCACGGUUCGCACUGGGAUCACAGUCCUGUGGGACCAGAUGGUGUGAGACGCGUCCAGCACGGAUUAGGCGAUGAUCUGGCACCUGGUCUGAGUGCUGGAGGAAGCCCAAGCCCUGUCUUAGACAAGAAAACUGAGGCUGGAAUUGAGAGCCCUUUCACUCGCGGGAGGAGAAGAGCUUGUGCUGCAGGCUGCCGGGUACCACCGGGUACCUGCCCAGGCUUGCCCUACCAGGAGGAGCUCCUCUCGGCUUGGUGACUGGCUGAGGUCUUGAGUGUUUGCCAGACAACUGCUGGGUGCCGGCUCUGGGGGCACAAGAAAGAACAGGUGAAGCUCCCACCCCUCCGGAGACACAGAAAUCCAGACUUCAGGGACUUUAGGCCACAAACUGUUCCUCGGGUCUUUGGGUUCCAGAGGCCCGGAACUGACUGGCUGAAGGCUCUAGAGCCCUGCUGCUGCCUCUGGCUGCCUCGGGGCCUUUGCACACGCUCUGCUGGAGUCCGGACCAGCCUCCCCCUUAGAGCCUGCCUGUAUUUUUAAGUCCUGGCUUCAGUGUCACCUGAUCUGAGAACCCCUCGCACUCCCCAUCAACAGGGGUAGCCUCCUGUUAUUUCAUGGCACCCCAGCCCACUCUCUACCGCGUUUGGAGUUUGUGUGCGUCGUGACUGGUCCAGUGUUGUUUCUUCCCUCGCCUGCAUGCCCGGUGUCUGGCCUUCCACCCUGUUGAUCCCUGUUGUCUGGCUGGUUGCUUAGCUCAUUGCCUGUCACAUAGUAGCUGCAUGAUAAAUAUUUGCUGAAUAAAUAAAUGAAUCAGGCAAGUUGUUUAUACUAGAACUAGUAGGGACUCAGAAAGAGCUUGCCUCCCGGUAGGGCAUGGAUAAGCGCAGAAGACUAAACCUUCAUUCCAAAGCUCUAUGAAGAGGAAUGUUUAACUAGUCAAACAUCCAGUCUGUGGGGACCACCGCCCCAGACCAGGACCCACGGGAAGGGCACACUUGUGAUUGUGUUUCAGUGGAAAUAGUGGAGUCCACAGUACUUGUUCUCUCCCCCAACUCCCCGGCUGAGGCCGGUUAAUUGAAUGCAGUGUGGGGACGUGUUUGUAUGUAGCUAUACAAGUGUUAUGUGAGUCAACAGAAAGACAUUUCAAAUAAGAAGGCGAUCACAGAGGGUGGGGGUGUCUUCAGCCUUGUGGGGGCAGGAGGAGGAAAGCUGGCACGCAGCCGCAGUCACUUCUCCUGGGCACCAGGGAGUGUGCAGUAGAGGAGUGAGCGGCUUGUCCAGAUUCCAGCUUCACCACUUACCAGCCGAGCAGCUGAGUACCAACUGAGUGGGUAC